GAUUCUGGCUCAGGAUGAACGCUAGCUACAGGCUUAACACAUGCAAGUCGAGGGGCAGCAUGGCGAUUGCUUGCAAUUGCCGAUGGCGACCGGCGCACGGGUGAGUAACGCGUAUCCAACCUUCCUGCCAGUAGGGAACAGCCCGGCGAAAGUCGGAUUAAUGCCCUAUGUUCUUCAAUGCGGACAUCUAAGUUGAAGGAAAGAUUUAUCGCUGGCAGAUGGGGAUGCGUCCGAUUAGCUUGUUGGCGGGGUAACGGCCCACCAAGGCGACGAUCGGUAGGGGUUCUGAGAGGAAGGUCCCCCACACUGGUACUGAGACACGGACCAGACUCCUACGGGAGGCAGCAGUGAGGAAUAUUGGUCAAUGGGCGAGAGCCUGAACCAGCCAAGUAGCGUGCAGGAGGACGGCCCUACGGGUUGUAAACUGCUUUUAUGCGGGGAUAAAGUGCGGCACGUGUGCCGUUUUGCAGGUACCGCAUGAAUAAGGACCGGCUAAUUCCGUGCCAGCCGCCGC
rnacentral:rRNA from 1 species